rnacentral:rRNA from 1 species
GAUGAACGCUAGCUACAGGCUUAACACAUGCAAGUCGAGGGACCGGCGCACGGGUGAGUAACACGUAUCACACCUGCCCUUUACUCGGGGAUAGCCUUUCGAAAGAAAGAUUAAUACCCGAUAUAAAGGAUGGGGAUGCGUUCCAUUAGGUUGUUGGUGAGGUACCGGCACACCAAGCCUUCGAUGGAUAGGGGUUCUGAGAGGAAGGUCCCCGAGAUUGGAACUGAGACCCGGUCCAAAAUCCUACGGGAGGCAGCGGUGAGGAAUAUAGGUCAAUGGGCGCUAUCCUGAACCAGCCAAGUAGCGUGAAGGAUGAAGGCUGAUUGGGCGUAAACUACUUUUAUAUAAGAAGCUGUAUUAGAUGAAUAAGGAUCGGCUAACUCCGUGCCAGCAGCCGCGGUAAUAC